UACUUAUCCAGAAAGACAGAGGGAAAGGCCCUAUGAUGUCUUAGCAACCUGUACCGGCCACCUGGCUGUGUGUAAGGUGCUAAUUCCUGCUUCGUGAACCAACCCGGAGACAGAUAAGCU
rnacentral:ncRNA from 1 species